CCUACGGGUGGCAGCAGUGAGGAAUAUUGGUCAAUGGGCGUAAGCCUGAACCAGCCAAGUCGCGUGAGGGAUGAAGGUUCUAUGGAUCGUAAAUCUCUUUUAUAAGGGAAUAAAGUGUGGGACGUGUCCUAUUUUGUAUGUACCUUAUGAAUAAGGAUCGGCUAACUCUGCGCCAGCAGCCGCGGUAAUACGGAGGGUCCGAGCGUUAUCCGGAUUUAUUGGGUAUAAAGGGGUGGAAGGCGGCCAUUUAUGGCAGAGGGGAAAGUCUGUGUCUCAACCAUAGAAUUGCCGUUGAAACUGGGGAGCUUGAGUAUGUGUGAGGCAACCGGAAUGCGUGGUGUAGCGGUGAAAUGCUUAGAUAUCA
rnacentral:rRNA from 1 species